AGCAAUCUGGUCCAUUUUACAUUGAGCUUCACUUGAAAGUCACCACCUGCACAAAAACAGAAAAGACCACACAUCGAGAUGACUGCCCAUUUAUGGACCGAAGGCCAAAAAUCAACUGUGCUGUUUGCAAUAAAGGGAUUGAGUCCGGCCUCGACAUUCACUGCGUUACGCAACUGCAAGUAAAUCAGUUCAUGGAAGAGCGGAGGAAAGUGUGCCCAAUUUACGUCUUAGGGGGAGGCAGUGUAAACUCACUGAAGAAACUGGAAAAACCACCUGCUGAGUGUCUUGGGUGCUUCUGAAUGUCCCGGCGAGUUUGGGCUGUCCGAUCCCCAAAUUCAGUGCAAUGAAGGCUCUGUGACAGUUUCAUGUCUGAAAUACUGUGCUGUAUUCUAUUCCCUCCUUUGGCAGAAUGUACUCAAAUUGCUUUAUUUGUAUAGCACCUUUCAUACAGAAUGCUGCUGAAAGUGCUUAGCAGGACUAAUGAAACCAAGGAAGACAUAAAAUAACACAAUGAUAAUAGUCGAAUAUACAAAUUAAAAUAAUAAAACUAAAUUAAAAGGGAAUCAAAUAAAAUCUUUUCAAAAUACCUGCUUGCAUGCAGUGAUUACACAUCUAUUCCAUGUAGAAACUCUGUUUCACAGAUACUCUGUGCAAUAUGUGAUGCCCACUAAAAUGUGAUCACAUUAGUGAUGUUAUUUUUGCGAGCUUAUAAUUUUAUUUUACAGGUAAAAUCUGUCUAUUUGUUUCACGAUAAUGAUUUUACCUAAAUUGCCUGUAAUAGGAAUUGCACGACACCAGAUGACAUGGUUGAGUCUCGGUAUUGGACUUGGCGAGGGCUCGCCAUAACUUUGAGAGACUUCGUGAAUACAGGUCAUGUCUAACUGACUCUUCAUUUUUGUGACUGUUUUCCAGGUUAGUAAAGUGUCACAAGCACCAUGUAUUGUGUAAUUCAGUUUUAUAAAAUCAGUAUAGAGUUUGAUUUACGUUUGUCAGAUUGGUGAAUGUCCAGUUUGUCUAGUUUGGUGUAAAUUAGCUAAUGUAGGCUAACUAAGAUGCGAGAAGUUAGCUAACGUUAGCCAGUAAUGUUAUGAAUGCUCCGAACGCUAGCUAACUAUAUAACUUAUUUGAAUUAAUUUUACCGUUACUAAGCAAAGUUAACGUUAGCCCUACGUUCGUUUCCUGUGAAAUUUGGAAAGUUAGCGAACAUUGCUUGUUUUCGGUAAUGUUAGCUACCAAGGGCAUAUGCUCAUAUUCGUUUGGAUAUCAAUUCAGUUACUGAUGUAAAGUUAGCCCAGAUUGGCACUGCCGCUAUUCUAGCUAACAUUAACGUACUCUGUUAUCCAAUUAACGUUAUGUGCCGGGAUUCAGCACUCGGUGCUGAUAGCUUUGUAUCCUGUCCUGUAAAUGGCUCCACGUAUCCCAUUCCUUUUAAUUUUAUAUUUUUGGCUGGCUCAAUAGUUUCACGUUUAAUGAAAUGGUUCAAUUGUUUAAACUGUACAAUAAUAUGCAAGUUAAUUAUUCAUCACUGUGAUGCAUGUCCGAGGAUACUGGGAAGUAUGUAAAGUGCAUUGAGGAUGCUGAUGCAGAAUAUAAACACAUGUUUAGGAAUGACCAUUUAUUUUGAGUGUCUAUAAACAAGAUAUAAAUGUCUAGUGAAUAGAGAUAUGGAAAGUGUAUGGGGAAGAUACUGUUUUUGAUAGUGACCAUUGUAUUUUGAGUGUUCUAUGAACAAGAUAUAAAUGUCAAAGAGACAGACAAUGGUUAUAUCUGUACAGCAGUACAAGUAACUAUUAAAGGGACAGUGCAGGCAGGGGUGCUCAUUUUAAUACUUGUGAUAAUUGUAAUAAUUGUGAUAAUUGUAAAUAAAGAUAACUUUGAGAGACUUCGUGAAAACAGG